rnacentral:rRNA from 1 species
GACGAACGCUGGCGGCGUGCUUAACACAUGCAAGUCGAACGGAAAGGCCUGCUUUCCCUUGUGGAUUGCGGGUACUCGAGUGGCGAACGGGUGAGUAACACGUGAGUGAUCUGCCCCCAACUUGGGUAUAAGCCUGGGAAACUGGGUCUAAUUCCCGAUAGGACUGCAGGGUGGUGCCUGUGGUGGAAAACGAUUUUCUAGUGGUUGGGGAUGAGCUCGCGGCCUAUCAGCUUGUUGGUGGGGUAAUGGCCUACCAAGGCGGCGACGGGUAGCCGGCCUGGGAGGGUGGACGGCCACAUUGGGACUGGGAUACGGCCCAGACUCCUACGGGAGGCAGCAGUGGGGAAUAUUGCACAAUGGGCGGAGGCCUGAUGCAGCGACGCCGCGUGGGGGAUGACGGCCUUCGGGUUGUAAACUCCUUUCGACCGCGGGGAAGCCACCUGGUUGGAAGGGUGGUGACGGUAGUGGUAGAAGAAGCACCGGCUAACUACGG